AAAAGCAAGCCAUAGGCAACUGUGUCAAGGAAGAACUCUCAGCUGGAAGCUAGAUGAAUUCUUGGGAGAACCCAGGCUUUUGAGGGAACCCGUCCUCCUUGGGCUGGGACAGCAGAUUAAUGGCCGAUGUUUGAGAGAGGCUAGAACAGGAAAGGGAGAUUCAAGGAGAUUUUUCUUUUCCAAUCCCCCUCAACUGACACCCUCCCUCCUCCACCUCUGAGUCAUCUGGCCGAGUCUUUUCGUCGACUCAGUGGAGAUUCAUGAAGUGUCUUGCGGGUAGUCACGAUGACAACCACAUCUGAAACGGCUCUGGCUAGAAGCACACGAGCUGGGAGCCAGAAGAUUUCCACUGUCAGUGCCAUAAGCCCAGUGUAUGUGUGGCCGCGGGAGCCAGAGCUGUGGACGCGGAGCGCUGACGGACACGGAAGGCCUGUGGAUUGGAAGAGUUUGGAGUUUCCUGGCGGAGGACGAGGCUCUUGAGAGCUGACGCAGGCUGGACGUACCUUGCAGGCCUGGUAGAGGACGUCGGCU